rnacentral:rRNA from 5 species
AAAUUGAAGAGUUUGAUCAUGGCUCAGAUUGAACGCUGGCGGCAGGCCUAACACAUGCAAGUCGAACGGUAACAGGAAGCAGCUUGCUGCUUCGCUGACGAGUGGCGGACGGGUGAGUAAUGUCUGGGAAACUGCCUGAUGGAGGGGGAUAACUACUGGAAACGGUGGCUAAUACCGCAUAACGUCGCAAGACCAAAGAGGGGGACCUUCGGGCCUCUUGCCAUCAGAUGUGCCCAGAUGGGAUUAGCUUGUUGGUGAGGUAACGGCUCACCAAGGCGACGAU